AUGGCGGCGACUACGGUGAAGAUCGGAAAUGGUGCAACCGCAGCCUUCUGGCACUCCUCCUGGGCAGGGCCGGCCGCCCUUGCCCAACAAUUCCCUCUGCUGUUCACGCAUUCGAGGAGGAAGAACAGAACCGUCACGCAAGCACUGAACACUGACACUUGGAUAAAGGACCUGGCGCACGGCUGCGCCCAGGAGCUGCUUCCAGACUUCCGGAACAUGCAUAGAGCCAUCAGGGGAGCGACAGAAGGGCUGCAGGCGGAGGUGGCGGAUGAGAUCAAAUGGAAAUGGGAAAGCUCAGGAAACUACUCUUUAAAAUCAGCCUAUGCGAUGCAGUUUGUGGGGAGAGCUGCCACAACUUUUGAUCAAGAUAUCUGGAGGGUUUGGGUGCCGGGGAAGAUCAAGAUGUUUGCUUGGCUGAUGUUCCAGAAUAGACUAUGGUGCAACAACAGAUUGCAACGACGGGGCUGGGCCAAUGAUUAUUUCUGUCAGAUGUGCGUCCGGAACCUCGAGUCUGCUCAUCACCUCUUCUGGGAGUGCACGAAGACACAUGAGGUAUGGACGGAGAUAGGACGAUGGCAGGGCUGCUCUUCCUUCGCGCCCACGGACGACUGGCACAACGCCUCCUCCACGGCGGUUGCUCACCACAUCUACGAGGGCGUCGAGUCAAAGUGGAAGAAGGGCGCCAGAACUCUGCUGCUGUUGGCGUGCUGGGAGAUCUGGCAGGAACGGAACCACUGCACUUUCAGAAAGAAGCUCCCAUCCACUCGACAUAUUAUACAAAGGAUCACCAACUCAAUUGAGCUUUGGAGGAUAGCAGGCGCAAGAUGCCUCGAGAGCCUGUUCGGGGAGCCACCGUGA
rnacentral:rRNA from 1 species